ACACCCACUGUGGGGCAGCUGUAGCAGAUCGCGGACCUAUUCACUUUAAGGGGCCCGCAAUCUGGCCGUUCCGCAAAAAGAUAGGACAUGUUCUAUCUUUUUGCGGAACGGAAGUACGUGAUGAAACCCCACGGAAUCACUCUGGGGGGUUCCGUUCCGUG